GGCUUUUCUUAUAGUACAGAGAGACUCAUGGAAGGAGACACCCUCUUUCCUCUGGGGAUUGCAUGGGGGUAUCAGGAACGGUUGCAGCCACCUGACAAUAUGAGAGAGGACAUAAGACUGCAGAGACAUUCCCCGUGGUAUGGUUGAGCUGGAGUCACCUGCUUCACUUCGAGAGAAUGAGCUCCUGGAUGCAUCCUAACUACAUUACCACACAAUAAAAAUGGGAAGACACCAGAGAAGAUUUAGGAGCCUCUCUUGGAGGACACAGAGUCAAAAUGGAAAGUUAAAAGGAAUCAGGGUUUUAUAUCCUGGUAGAGAAGCCUCUGGAUAAACCUGGUUGCUGUUUCCAAAUUCAUGGAAGGUUUCAAGGAUGGAGCAUCAAACAAUUAUUCCCCAUGACUUCCGAAGACCUAACUGGGAGUGGAGACUGAAUUAAAGCAAGAGAGGCUGUGCCUGGAUUUAAGACAGAAUCUGCCAGUAGGAAUGAUAAAACCCUGACACGGGCCCCCGCAGAUGAAAGUCUGUCCAAUUGCAAAAAGACAAGAGUGGAAAACAUGAGUCUUUGGGCGGUUUAUUAUUCACCUACUUAAGUCAAUGGGAAUAAUCAAAUGACUACCUCAAGUUUGUGAUUUUCUGCUAGUUUAGAGAAGAUAAAUUACUGAAAUUCAAGUGGGUGAGGAAUCAGACCUCCAAAAGUAUUCAUUAGGUUCUAAGUUUGACCUGACAGAGCUGGAAAUACUUGUUCUGUUGCUAGAAGGCCAACAUGGCAGCAUGACAUCCAGUUUAUAAUUUACAUUGAACACACACAACUUAUCAGAGCUUUGAGAUUAGUCAUAUGCCCAGAACGAGGACGUUGCAUGAGAAAUGUAGCCUCGGGGAAGGUGGCUGAGUAUUUCCGGAGUGUUUAUUAGUAACGUUGAUCCUAAUCUCAAUUCACUUUUCCAUGGAAGAAUGUAAAAGUGAGUAUUGCAUUUGGUCCGUUCCUCUGACCAUGUCAACACCCUUAAUUAAAGUACACACAGCACGCGAGUCAGCAGGCAGCGGGUGUGGAGCGGCCCUGCUCGAGCCCAUCCACGCCUGAGUCCGUGGCCUGGGUUCAAGGACCUACUCAGACAAAUGGCAUUGCAAGUUGAGUGGCUAGCUGUGCAAUUACGGCAUGGCUCGCAAGUAACCUGAGACAACUACCCCUCGCCUUGAAGCCAAUUUUAUAUAAAAGCUAUUAUUAGCAAGACUCACAUCAACCCUGGAAGCUAAUGUAAAUACAAUCAAGCCGUAUCAAAAUCAGUUUCAAAAAGUUUGUUCUUGAUGUGAC
rnacentral:lncRNA from 1 species